CGGGGUGUAGCGCAGCUUGGUAGCGCACUCGCUUUGGGAGCGAGGGGCCGUGGGUUCAAAUCCCGCCACCCCGACCA
rnacentral:tRNA from 1 species